rnacentral:rRNA from 1 species
UACGUAGGGUGCGAGCGUUAAUCGGAAUUACUGGGCGUAAAGGGUGCGCAGGCGGUUUUGUAAGCCAGAUGUGAAAGCCCCGGGCUUAACCUGGGAAUGGCAUUUGGGACUGCAAGGCUAGAGUGUGGCAGAGGAGACUGGAAUUCCUGGUGUAGCAGGUGAAAUGCGUAGAUAUCAGGAGGAAUACCGAUGGCGAAGGCAGGUCUCUGGGCUGACACGUGACGCUCAUGCACGAAAGCGUGGGGAGCAAACAGG